UCACGGGAGGAAGCACUGCCUCUGGCGGGGGGAGGAGAUGCCUGCGGGAGUACGGAGCUAUUAGAAAAUCACAGAGAAUAGAUUAGGUGUUGGAAAAGACCUUUGAGGUCAUCGAGUCCAACCUCUGACCGAUAGUCACCUUGUCAUCCAGAUCACGAAGCUAAAUCUGUCCUUAAACACCUCCAGGGACGUCCUCUUUCAGCCUGGUGAUGGGUGGAGAGACGAGCCGCAGAGCAGACAGCUCCAGGGAGGAAGCUCUUGGAAGUGGCAAUGCAGAUGUUCCUGUUUAUCUGGCCAUUGGAGGACAUGAGAGCAACGUGCUCAGAGCUAUCAAGAACCUGAUCUUUUCAGCAAGCUGUUGUCAUGUCUAAAUGAAUUUAUCCAGGUAAAUCCAUAUGCAAAGGAAGGGCAGGUAAGUUUAAAAAUAAGAGUCCAUUUCAAGUCUCCCAGGAAUAAAUGGAUGGUCUUUUGUGCCCCAGAUUGGGCUUUUAUAGGUAUCACUACUGCUACAGUUGGGCCAAAAACCAGUGGGGGAAAUUGUGGGUGUGGAAAAGUUGAAAGACAUAAUCAGCCACUUAAUUCUGUCUUUUUGGAAGGACAGCUUGAUUUUCUUUUGCAGUUGCAAGAAAAAGCUGUAAACAAAAAAAAAACCAACUUAAGAAAAAUGUUCAUUGUAUUACAAAGUUAUAAUUUGCAUGCUAAAAUUGCAAGUGUUAUCAUUUCUACUACUAACAGUAAAAAAGUAGGUGAGCCAAAGCACUGAGUGUGCCAGCCAGUGCCAAAAGGAGGAAACUAGGUUAAGCUGAAGUAUCAGUUGUUCCUAUUCCCCUUCAUUUGUUUGUUCACACAUGAAUAAUUUUUUUUCAAUUUAUUUAUUUAAUUUUAAAAUACAAGACAGCUUAGAGCUACUCUGGGCCAUCAGCUACAAUGGCCUACAUAAUUCCCAGGCUGAUUUAAACACACUGCUUCCCAUGGGCACACACAGGCACAGGAAUAUUCGGUGGCCACCAGCUGAUACUGGAAAGACAGGCACUAAAAAUAAGUUGUCCUUUUUUAACAGUAAGUGUAAUUAAGCACUGAAAUAGUGCCUGUUGUAGGGAGGUGGCCCCGAAGGCACGGAGCCAAAGCAAGACAUGUUGUUAAAAGGUAUGUUGCCUUCAGCAGAUGGUCAGAGCUCUGAUGCUUGAAGCACCCAGUGAAAUUAUCCACCCAAUUCCUGUAGGAAGCCUGUCUGGAGCAACUGUUACAGCCCUAAUUUCUCUGAAAAUACAAAUAUAUGGUUGCUAGUUUUCACUGCUUUACAGCUAUACUAUUUGGUGUAUUUUUAGCCGUUCAGUUGUGAGAACACAACAAAAACAGCAUCAGCCCACUUUGGUUUGCAUUAUGAUUUACUUUCUAAAGCCCACACUGCAGUGGAGACUGGAGGGGCCCAGGUACCAAAAGCAGUUUAACUGUGGUAGCACAAAAAUGUGUUGUCUGUCAGGGGAGGGUUAGGUGGAAUAUUAGGAAAAGAUAUAAAGAUAUAAAGCACCCAGAGGGUGCUGGGGCACUGCCCAGGCUCCCCAGGGAAUGGGCACAGCCACAAGGCUGCCAAGUUCCAGGAGCAUUGGGACAUCCCCCUGUCCCUGCACGUGGGGUGACCCAGAGGCAGAAGAGGUAGGAGUCCAGCUCUUGUGGUGUGAUCAUUGUGGGUUCCAAACAAGAAGACAUGAAAGUUAUAUCUGAUCAUGUUAUUAGUGCACACAUCCAUGCAUGUAAAUAAAUCAGAACGUACAAUUAUGUGUGUAUAGGUAGAGAUUGUUAUUCUCCAGCAAACGGCAUCAUCUGGGAUGCUCCUGAGUUGUGACUGUGUAAAUCCCAGAAUUCCUGAGAUGGCCCCUAUAACCUGAAAUGCUCAUUGGAGUCCUUCAGUACUCCAACAACCCAAAAUCCACUGCAGAAAAUAAUAUGUUCUGCAGAAGAUUGGUUCAUUCCCUGAAUAUUUAUUUGCUGGUUUGGGCUGGGGUAUUUUUCUAUUCUUAUUAUUACUAUUAUUUGUUUUGUUUAUUUCUUCUCCUUUUAUCAGCUCCAGCUGAGACAGGGGAGGGUGGGAGGAGGGUUUUGUUCCUCUGGAGAUAACAGGAGGCUGUGCCUGUGCAGCCAUGGUGACAAGAUCCAGGGCUCUUUCUGGUUCCAAGCAAAUUGUGCCCCACCCCUGGCUCCCAAGUAAAAGUGGGGCAGAGAAAGAAAGGAGCUUUUGUUUCUCAAGUGCUUCAGCUGUUACUUCUAAUUAAGCAAAGAGCUCCAGUGCCUUCCCAGUCCCCAGCGAAGGAGGAUGGAGUUGGGGCAAAAGGAGAACCAAGAGGCUGUGGCAGCUCUCCUCUUUCCAGCUGCAGCCUGGCUGGGUGACCUGUGCCAUCCCAGCGCCUCGGAUUCUCUGGCUGCAGGGGGAAGGAAAGAGAGAGCCCGAGCCCAGCACGAGGCCAGAUGGAAACGACCACCCUGCUGUUCAAGGUGUUAUUAUCGGUUUAGUGCAGUAUGUUCCCAGCUUCCCAGACAUGCUGACUAUCAGCAAAUUGCUCUUUCCUUCUCCACCUUUCCCCGGAUGCCAUCCCCUCCUGUCUGAGAUGCCAGCCCUUGCUCUGAGGUCUAACAGCAUUUCUCCAACCUCCCCAGUGUGCCUCUUUUUGAGCCCUGCUGGCAUCGCCAGCCCCUGCCCAGCUCUGCAACAGGGAACACAGCCUGUUCCACAGCACUGCACGAACACGGGAAGGACUGCCAAGAGGAAAAGAGGGUGGAGAUGUGGAGAGAGAGAGAGAGAGAGAGAGAAAAAUAUGAAUGUAAAGAACAGGAACACUCAGGAAACCAACAGCCCACAGACUCAAGGUCCAAGCCCUGGCUCAGUUCUAGAAGUUGUCCACCAAGGAGUGAAGGAGCCCUCCAGGCCACGGCUGCUCCUCUGUGCGCACUGAACUCCAUUGGAUCUCUUCAGCCUGGGAUCUCACACAGAGAAGUUGAGGGCUUCACUCACAAACAGAUGGUCUCCCUCUUGGGCCCCAUCUGCCAGGCAACACUGGAGCAGUUGGUCUCUGCAGUGCUGAGCAGAAUCUUGUUUACUUUCCCCUCCCAUCCCCAAGGUGAUCGUGGGGUAACCCAGGCCUGCUGUUUCAGCCCAGAUUUCCAGGAACAGUCAGGAACUCCGAAGUGCAGGAGGGUAACCCAAGAGCAAGAGAGGGCACGUGGCAUCGGCCAGACCUGAUCUCUGUCACCAUUCAGUGUUGGAAAGAUGGAGCAGCACCUGGCAGCUGUCCCUUUUCCCCCCUCAGGACACAGAGUCCACCAGGGAUGCAGGGAAGUGUCUCCUGAGAGCAUUAAGGACACACAAAAAUGGCAGGUGACACCAGCUCUCCUUGAGCAGCACCAGCUAAGAUUGCUGCAGCAUGCAUGAGAAAAGAACUUUACUUCUUCUCUGGGUUCUGCUGCUGGGACUCUGUGUCAAGGACUGGAGGAUAUCACCUAUCCAUGCACCAGCCCAUGUUUUCCAGAGACCUCGGCCCCAGCAGCCAGAGCAGUGAGGUCCUGCUCUCUCAGGUUGCCAGGUUAGGCAGUCAGUGCUCUAAUGGUGCUCGCUGAGCAGAGGGCACGGAGCACCACUUUAUCCCUCCCCCGAGGGUUCCCAUCCGCAGCGGCUCCAGCCGGGAUGCUGCCGGUGGCAGCUCCACUCUAAUCAGCCCCGAGGCAGGAAGUGGAAACUUUCUGCUUGCAGCCACUUAGUUUCAUUAGAAGCAUCACGAGAGAAAACGGGGCCUCAGGUGGGGCAGGGAGAUGCAGAAGGUGGGGAGAGGGGUUUGCAGCCUGUUUGUGGUGGCACUUGGCAUGGCAGCUUCAGCUGGAAAGGGGGCAGAGACAGCCCGGAGCUGGGGCCUGUCACCCACACUGGUCAGAGCUCUGGAGCUCGUGCAGCUGGGUGAAGUGAUUGUUGCAGGAUAUAUUAUCCCUAUCACUGCAAAGAAUUUUUCCCCAUGUCUAGCCUGGCUCUUCCUUGUUCAACACAAACGUGGUACUGUUCAGAGGUGGAAUAUUAAGCACAGGAGUCACUGCCUAAUCAUGUAUUGAUUUCAGUGGAGCUGAGCUCGAUGAGAGGAGUCAGCCCGGCCUUGCUCCAUGCGCCUCGUGCCCCAGGAGAAUGUUUUGUGUGAGACUGAAUGCCUCUGUAAGUGCCUCUCAGUUCCCUGCUCAUUGAGAGCUGUUCUGCACAGACACUUUGGAGCAGGGGGGACACAGGACCCUGGAAUCACAUUUUCUUUUGGCAAGAGGGGUUUUUACCUCAGUCUCCCUGGGCAGUGUGCAUGGUGGGGCUGUCAGUUCUCCUGAGCAGGACUAAGAGCCCAGCCAGGCAGGAAUUCUGCCACCACCAGCAGCCCUCUACCCCUUGCCUCCCAUUUCACUCAUGUCCUCACCCAAGAGCAGAAAUAAACUCUCAACUGCUCACCUCUAA